UCCAAAAUCCUAAAAUGUACAUUACUCAGGUACUGUUCAUCAGGUUAUGUAACUCAACUGGUAUCUUUAAUCCUCAUCUCCACCGCUUUAAUCGACUGAACCUUAUCUAAACACCUCUCAAAACGUGAAUCCUCGUCGCCCGUCGAUGCUUCCUCGAUCACCACCGGAGCACCAUCGAAGCAACUUACCACCACCGCAACAGUCAUCGCCUGUCUUCGUGGACCGACAACGAGACCACCACUUUUCUCAGCAAACGAACCCUAAACCUUACUUCACUGAAAAGAUUGACUAGUUAUUUGUGAAGUUGUAUAAGGAUUUUUCUGAGUUUCGGUAAGUGUCUAUUGAGUUCUGGCUUACAUCUAUCAUUUAGUUCUUGAGUUAAAAGCUCACCUGAUUAUAAUCUUUUAUGCAUACAGAUAUAUAUCUUUUUUCUAACUUUGUAAAUAAAUGCAGAUAAACAAGGACACCAAAGAUAAUCAAUAAUGCAAAGGGUCGUUUAGGACCAACAUGGAUUUGUGUAUCAACUAGGCCACUUAUAGCAAGGUAAAAAGGGCAGGCCACUUAUAGCAAGGUAAACAAGGUAUUAUAUCAUAAGUUGUAAAAGAUGGGAUAACAUGUAUCCUUUAAAUAUAGUUAUUUCUUGUAUUUGCCUAUUUCUUACUAGACAAGGGCACGACAAUUUUGAGACCAUUUGUAAAAAGUCAUGAGACAAACAUAGAAAGAAGUUUAAAGCAACUGAUGUCCAAAGCAAAGCACGAGGCAUGUUAUUCUUGGGACAACUCUACUGCAAUUGGUGAAACUAAAUUGUUUGAAAUAAUUUAGUACUAUGUCUUUAAGUCUUCAAGACCUGUGGUACAAUUUUUCUUUCUAUUAGUCAGAAUUUUGCAAAUGGCUCCAUUGCAAUGUUGGAAUCACGUAAUCCAUUUUGUGGCAAUGCUUACACAGAGAUAUCCUUAUGUAGCAUAAAUCCCUUAGCAAGUUAGAUUAUCCAUUUCAUUUAAACGGGGAUAAUUGGGUGGUAAUGAAUUCAUCUUUUACCAUUUUUGAUAAUGUAGAUUAUUCUCAUUGUAAACAGCUUUGGGAACAUAUCAACAAGCUAUACAACACUCAUUUGCGAAUUUCAUUAGCUGGGGUAUAGGAUACCAAUAUCUAAUGGCAGAAACAUGUUUCCAUAUUCAAAGGUUAGUUAUAACUUAUUACUCUGUAUCCCUUCAGGGUAUGUCUAAUUUCUCAUUUAUAUUUAAUCACUCUACUGAUAUACAUUUUCACCUCAAAGAUUACAAAAAGAAAUUCAUGAUUCACUAGGAAAAUCUCUAAAGAAUUGUGCAUUCAGUCUUCUUUUCGACAUUAGAAUCAAGUUUUACACAUAGGAAUUUAUAUUUUAGCCAAGAUUUACUUUACAGAAUGAGAAGCAAUUCUCUAAUUCUCUCUUCAAAAAAGGUAUCUUUCUCUUUAUUUUCUCACAUUGAUGUUAAACUAAAAAGAAAGUUAUUUAGACAUGGAUUUCAAAACAAAAGCUAAUUUACUUCUUUAUUUUGUCAUAUAUUUAAGAUAAUUAACAAAAAAAGGUUCUUUUUUAUUUACCAAUUUCGCCCUUGCUAACCUUAUAACCACUUCCGUUAUCAACACCAAGAUCUGUGGUAAAUGAGCUUUUCUUUUUUAAUCUGGUGCGUAGAUUAACUUUCUUACUUUUUUUCUUUUUGUUUUAUCUAGAGACAUUUUGCAGGUUGUUUCUUUUAUUAUAGGACAAAAGUUAUUUCUAUAUUUUUUUCUUGUCAGUCAUGGGCUAUAGGGGUCGAUCAAUGGCCAACAUAAGUAGAAAUUACCUGGUGAAAAUGCUUUAAGUUGUGUUUUGCUCCGUGAUGUGUUGCUUGAUUGUGAGUUACAAGAGCAUGCAUAAAAUAAAAAUGAAUGUGAUUCAUUGUUACUAUGCAAACAAUUUUUUUUAAUUAUCCAAUUGCAUUUAUACAAGUGUGAAAUAAUUUCAA